UGAUCAGGGAAAGAAAGAAAGAAAGAAAGAAGAAGAAGAAGAAGAAGAAGAAGAAGAAGAAGAGAAACAAAAAUUGGGGCUUUUGGGGUUCUUGCUUUAAUCUUUUCAUUGGGGGUCAAAAUUCUCAAAGGAUAGCGUAUCGCUUGCUUAAAUGUUAAGAAUGGGCUGAGGCAGUGGAAAGUUUAGAAGACGUUGGGCAGAACUUUUGUUAGCAUAUAUGUAGGUGUGUAUGAGCUACCUUGCAUCUAAUGAAAUGUGACUAUAAAUCUAAACCUGUGGAUUUUGUGUAAUUUAAUGGAUCCCUCAUGUAUAGGGUUUUGGAAUGUUAAAUUAAAUUCGUGUAAUGAUAUGAACUUAUGGUAAAUCGAUGUUUGUGGUGAUUGCAUAAAA